rnacentral:pre_miRNA from 1 species
CAAAGCCGCUGGACCCCUCCAGCAGACCAGGGACACUCGAACAAAGCCAGCCGCCCAGUCGGCGGCUUUGCUCUGGUGUCCCUGGUCUGCUGGGGGGGUCCAGCAAAGCCG